GGAGUUCAGAUGAUGAUCAAUUGCAUAGUUCAAAUGAAUGUUUGUGAUUAGAAAAGUUUUAGUCUUUCCGAUGAACUCACAUUUUUUUUAUGUUUUUUAAUUUAAUAAUGAUUUAGUGAGAUAAUGACGACUCCAUGUGAUAAGGUCUCGUUCGACGUAAUGGUGAUUAACAGUCACCUUGCCGACCAUCCUGUUAUAUCACCACCCAUAAACUGAAUCC
rnacentral:lncRNA from 1 species